UGCAGAGGUCCCAAGCGUUGUUCGGAUUCACUGGGCGUAAAGGGUGCGUAGGUGGCCAGGUAAGUUCGGUGUGAAAGCUCGGAGCUUAACUCCGAAAUGGCAUUGAAUACUAUCUGGCUAGAGGGUCGGAGGGGAGACUGGAAUUCUCGGUGUAGCAGUGAAAUGCGUAGAUAUCGAGAGGAACACCAGUGGCGAAGGCGAGUCUCUGGACGACUCCUGACACUGAGGCACGAAAGCCAGGGGAGCAAACAGG
rnacentral:rRNA from 1 species